rnacentral:sRNA from 1 species
GCUGGGCCUGGGGGUGCACGCAUGUAAUCCCAGUGGCUCAGGAGGCUGAGACAGGAGGAUGGCGAGUUCAAAGCCAGCCUCAGCAAUGGUGAGGUGCUUAGCGACUCAGUGAGAUCCUGUCUCUA